AGCCCGGUCGUCUAGCGGCCAAACCCUGGCCAGAAGGGGCUAUGGAUGCGGGGCUUUGGACCCCGUGACGCCGGUUCGAAUCCGGCCCGGGCUA
rnacentral:tRNA from 1 species